CACUUGUUUAAUCUUAAUUUUCACUAUAAAUUAAAGCUUGAAAAUGCUGUUAUAUCAUUUUCAGGAAAAUACAUACUUUGAUUUAGGGUCCUGUUAAGAUCUGUAAUGUGUUGUCAGCUGAAGUGGUUUUAUACUGUAACUCUAUACAGGUAUUACAGGCUAUGUAAACAAAAGUCAUACUUACUAGGGAUAUAAUUUCUUCAUUACAAGUUAUCUUCCAAUCUAUGAAAUCAUGUAAAAACCUUGAAUCAUAUUUUCUUCCUUUUUUGUAGAAAUGUUGAUAUUCUCCUUAAAUCAUUUAUAUUUUUAUUUUUUUGUUCAUUUUUCUAGAAAUAUUUCACUUUUCUCAAGAUAUUUUUGCAUACUGUAUACUCUCUUCUCCUUUCGCAUCAGGAUCGCUUUUAAGGGCAGCAAAAGUACAGAUAUUAAAAAUAUGGCAAAACUGAAUAUGAGUACGUGUAUAUAUCUCCAUCUUGAAUGCAAAGUACAUGUACAAGACACCAUGAAGAUUGUCUUUAGAACCACUGUUCAUGUUCGGUAAACUUCUGCCUCCACCUUUCUAGCAACUGCAUCAUUACAAAUUAAAUGUAAAAACCAUUAAAUUGCAUGUAAUGGGACCUUUAUUCAAUCUCUUGAUUAAUUCUUCAUAUUACAAAAGACAGAAAUCAUAAAAGAAAUGAAUGAUUUAUUUUGUCAAAUAACCCGGUUAGAUUACCAGAUAUAGAUGUAAAAUUUGUUUUUAGAAAAGUAGAUCUUUAAAAUUGAUGAUCAGGCUGUAAGUUCCAAUAUAAAUUCCAUGAAAAUGACUUUGUGUAUAUGAACAAAUUUCAGAGCCAAAGUUUUAAUAUUUGACAGAAAUUGUCUUAAUUUGUGAAAUGUCUUAUGAACUAAUCUGAUGUAGUAACCAAAAAUGGGAUCAUUAUUUGUUGUCUCCUUGGUUAGAUCCGAUUUGCAGUCAAGUAAUUGACUUCAAUAUUGUCACAAUUAUCUUCAUAAAUUAUUGAUAAAUGCCUUUAUAUUUCACUUUUUCAGUUAUUAUAUUCUCAUAUACAUAUGCUUAUGACUAUGUUAUUUAUGGUGCUGAAUCCAAUAAAAUCUGUUAAAGACAUUUUGAUAUAAGUGCUUUCAAAUUUGUAUAUUAGAAUUAGAGUAAAAUUAUUGUUAUUUUCUGUGAUUUGAUAUUGGGUGAAUUUACCCAUACAUCACUUUUGUGCUAUCUUUCUUUCCCUGAUUCUACUCCUGUCAUAAUGAUAUGAGUAUAUAUAUAUGUAUUAGUGACUUGUUUGUUAUAUUAUUCUAAAUCUGUGGUGGCUGUGCCGCUCCAAUGUUUUAUAUUUCACAAUAUAUUUGAAUAACAUUGCUGGUCAAGUCAUUUUUCUUAUGAAAUUACUAUUUGUAUGUUUGUAUUUAAGUACAUGUAUGUAAAGUUGUAUGUUUUUUUUAUAGAAUAUUCGUAAUGAUAUUUUUGUAGAGUUACUUAUUAGUAAUUAAUAUACUAUAUUCUACUUAGCCCAAGUAGAAAGGUAUUAUAUUCCCUUCUUUAAAUCAAUGUUAUAUCUUUUGAGUAAGGAAAGUGAAAUGCAUGGAUUGCUAGUGUCUAUGUCUCUUUGAGUUUCCUGAAACACUUCAGAAAAAUUAGAUUGAGAGAAAAUAAUAUUGACUUCCUUUUAUGAUUGUUAUAUCUGUCUCAUGCUUCAGAAGAGAAUACACAAGGGCUCACAGCAAUUUACCUUCAAGCUGUGUGAAAAUAUUAUGAUGUAAAAGAUGCCCCCCCCCAUAUCACUAUCGAUACAAAAUGCAAAUGGGAAGAGAUUAAAAAGGAAAAGAAAUGAAAACAUGUAACAGAAAUGACUUAUUUAUUCCUCUUAUCUGUAUCUUCUUCUUAGCUAUUAUUAUUGCAGUGACUCUUCACCCUCUACUUCACAUGUGAUGCACAAACACUGCAUUUGUGUGUAGAUCAUACAAUUUCCCUUAGACUUUGGGGUCAUAUCAACUCAGUCACUUGGUGGGACUACAUCUCAAUAACGUUUGCUUGAUAUUGAAAAGUAAAGGUGAGUGGGAUAAAGCUUACAACUCAUAAUAUAAAUAGCAAUUAUUUAUGUGUUCCUAUUUAAACCUGUCUGAAUUUUUCUUUAAAGGUAGAUUGUCUUCUAGUAAUAGCUAAAUCAUGCUGCUCAUUUUAUACUUCACAUUAUACCUAGUUUUACAGUUUUUGUCCUAUAAUGUAGCAUUGAUAGAAAGGUUUGAUUUAAUAUGUACUUAAAAGAUGAUAAGCAGUAUGUAUACAUAUUGGGAUAUAUUAUGAAUGGAAAAGUAUACUAUGUGAUAAACACUUUAUAUCUUAGAGGGAUAAAAAGAAAAUGCCAUAUGAUUUGUAUAUUCUUGUGAAUGCGGAAUUGAACAUUGAGCAAUGUAUGUGAAAUGAACAAGAUUCUAUUUGAAAAUGUUCAGUUCAUUGUCUUUAAUACAAUAUAUCAUAUAGAAUUGGGGCAGAUAAUGAUGUUGAGAUAUUCCUUAAAAGAUAUAUCAUGUACAUGCUUUUGUGAAUAAAUGAAGGAUAUAAAAAAGAA